CGUAGGUGGCAAGCGUUGUCCGGAUUUAUUGGGUUUAAAGGGUGCGUAGGCGGUCUAUUAAGUCAGUGCUGAAAUACUCCAGCUUAACUAGAGGGGUGGCAUUGAUACUGAUGGACUUGAGUACAGAUGAGGUAGGCGGAAUUGACGGUGUAGCGGUGAAAUGCAUAGAUAUCGUCAAGAACACCGAUAGCGAAGGCAGCUUACUGGGCUGUAACUGACGCUGAUGCACGAAAGUGUGGGGAUCAAACAGGAUUAGAUACCCUGGUAGUCCACACUGUAAACGUUGAUUACUCGCUGUUUGCGAUACACAGCAAGCGGCUUAGCGAAAGCGAUAAGUAAUCCACCUGGGGAGUACGCCGGCAACGGUG
rnacentral:rRNA from 1 species